rnacentral:rRNA from 1 species
AGUGAACGCUGGCGGUAAGCCUAACACAUGCAAGUCGAACGGCAGCACAGUAAGAGCUUGCUCUUACGGGUGGCGAGUGGCGGACGGGUGAGGAAUACAUCGGAAUCUACUUUUUCGUGGGGGAUAACGUAGAGAAACUUACGCUAAUACCGCAUACGACCUACGGGUGAAAGCAGGGGAUCUUCGGACCUUGCGCGAUUGAAUGAGCCGAUGUCGGAUUAGCUAGUUGGCGGGGUAAAGGCCCACCAAGGCGACGAUCCGUAGCUGGUCUGAGAGGAUGAUCAGCCACACUGGAACUGAGACACGGUCCAGACUCCUACGGGAGGCAGCAGUGGGGAAUAUUGGACAAUGGGCGCAAGCCUGAUCCAGCCAUACCGCGUGGGUGAAGAAGGCCUUCGGGUUGUAAAGCCCUUUUGUUGGGAAAGAAAAGCAGCAGGUUAAUACCCCGCUGUUCUGACGGUACCCAAAGAAUAAGCACCGGCUAACUUCGUG